AGAGUUUGAUUCUGCUCAGGAUGAACGCUGGCGGCGUGCUUAACACAUGCAAGUCGAACGGAGCUUAGAAGGAAGCUUGCUUUCAUUUAAGCUUAGUGGCGGACGGGUGAGUAACGCGUGAGCAACCUGCCCUCGAGUGGGGAAUAACAUCGAGAAAUCGGUGCUAAUACCGCAUAAUGUCGAGAGACCGCAUGAUCUUUCGACCAAAGGAUUUAUUCGCUUGAGGAUGGGCUCGCGUCCGAUUAGCUAGUUGGUGAGGUAACGGCCCACCAAGGCUUCGAUCGGUAGCCGAACUGAGAGGUUGAUCGGCCACAUUGGGACUGAGACACGGCCCAGACUCCUACGGGAGGCAGCAGUGGGGAAUAUUGGGCAAUGGGCGAAAGCCUGACCCAGCAACGCCGCGUGAAGGAUGAAGGUCUUCGGAUUGUAAACUUCUUUGAUUGGGGAAGAAUAAAAUGACCUACCCAAAGAACAAGCCACGGCUAACUACGUGCCAGCAGCCGC
rnacentral:rRNA from 1 species